AUGGGGUCGUCGUCGAAGGUGGUGCGGCCGGAGGAGGUGCUGGAGUCGCUGAAGAACGACGGCACCGUCGACGCGCUCCGCAUGAAGAUCAUGGCCCAGCUCAAGGCCGACGAGGACAUGAAGAAAAAUACUAUGAUGAUGGUGGAACAAAGCAAAGUUCUGAAGACUCCUGGAGCUGAGAAAAAGACCAAGAGGGAGCUGUUUGAUGCUCUUAGACAAGAAUUGGAAACUCCGGUUCUUGAGAAAGUCUCAAAGGCAGUUUGGGAGCUGAUACUCGACAAUGGUGGACUAGGGAAAGAGAUCACCGAGACAGUUGAGAAAGUCUUCUGCCGGCUCAGCGGAAUUGAUGUGAUGCCACCUCCAGCUUCAACAUCCGGUGCUCCUCAAGAGAAACAGACAAACAUGGCUGUAGAGGAGGAUCAGAAGGAUAUGGAAAUGGAUGCCUCUGAACCAUCGUCUUCCUCAAGGAAGAGGCCUUUCAGUGACAUCAGUGUGAAAGGAGCAGGUGCUAUACCAAACGGUGGCGCUACAUACCAGCAUGACGAUCAUGAGGACGGGAACUAG
rnacentral:rRNA from 1 species